CCCCUCCGAGCUUUGCUCGUCUCCCCUCGGGGGAGGUUGGGCUCAAGAGCGGUCGACCCUUAUUCUAUUUUCGAAGCGGAAAUAGUCGGGUCGGACAGCCAAGUACCGUGCAAUCAAGUUUUGGCUUCCGCGCGCGCGCGUAAGAGCUGAACGCUUUCCCCUCCGAGCUGCGCUCUUCCUCCCUCGGGGAGGUGAGCUCAUUAGCUCCUUAGCUCCUUAGCU
rnacentral:lncRNA from 1 species